rnacentral:rRNA from 1 species
AGAACGAACGCUGGCGGCAUGCCUAACACAUGCAAGUCGAACGCUUUUGGGGCUUCGGUCCCAAAGGAGUGGCGCACGGGUGAGUAGCGCGUGGGAACCUGCCCUGUUGUGGGGGAUAACCAAGGGAAACUUCGGCUAAUACCGCAUACGCCCGGGGGAAACUCCGGGGAAAGAUUUAUCGCAGCAGGAGGGGCCCGCGUCGGAUUAGGUAGUUGGUGGGGUAACGGCCCACCAAGCCUGUGAUCCGUAGCUGGUCUGAGAGGAUGAUCAGCCACACUGGGACUGAGACACGGCCCAGACUCCUACGGGAGGCAGCAGUGGGGAAUAUUGGACAAUGGGCGCAAGGCCUGAUCCAGCAAUGCCGCGUGAGUGAUGAAGGCCUUAGGGUGUAAAGCUCUUUCGCCCGCGACGAUGAUGACGGUAGCGGGAGAAGAAGCCCGGCUAACUUCGUGCCAGCAGCCGC